AGGUCGUUUUGGGGGCAAUUUUGAAAUAGGCCUUUGUAGCGCUCCCAUGCUUCAAAUAGCGACUCCCCUAUUUGUUGUUCAAAAUUAGCAAUGGCCUUUUUGAGCUU